AAAGGACAUCAUCCGUCCCAUAUCGACGUGGAACACGUACAACAUCGCGAAUUUAUUGGUGAACUUUCGGUUGUGUGCGAAGUGUAGGUUUUUAAUCCUUUWGCAAGAAGUUACCAGAAGUCUUAACGACAAUAAAGUGUAAGAGAUUAAACAAAGGUCAACGCCAGGGCUUCAAGAGUAGUUGCUGUGCGCUUCUUUGGCGGUGGUGUUAAUGUAAGCGGUGGCUAUCAGCGUAGCAAACUUGCUGCUUUUAGCAAACAUAUAAAGGCUGUUGCCUAUUGAUUGAAAUUUAACCUGUGAAAUAAAAAUAAGAACAAAAGAAAUUAUUUAUGAAA